rnacentral:rRNA from 1 species
GACGAACGCUGGCGGCGUGCUUAACACAUGCAAGUCGAACGAAGUGGCGAACGGGUGAGUAACGCGUAAUCAACCUGCCCUUCAGCGGGGGACAACAGUUGGAAACGACUCCUAAUACCGCAUACGGAAGGAGGGGAUUGCGUCUGAUUAGCUAGUUGGAGGGGUAACGGCCCACCAAGGCGAGGAUCAGUAGACGGUCUGAGAGGAUGAACGGUCACAGUGGGACUUGGACACGGGCCAGACUCCUACGGGAGGCAGCAGUGGGGAAUCUUACGAAAUUGACGAAAGUCUGACGGAGCAACGCCGGGUGAAUGAUGACGGCCUUCGGGUUGUAAAGCUCUGUUAAUCGGGACGCGGUACCGGAAUAGAAAGCCACGGAUAACUACGUGCCAGCCGCCGCGGUAAUUC